AAGUCUCCCUGGAAUGGAGCCUUCAUAGAGGGGUGAGAAUCCCCGUCUUUGACACGGACUGCCAGGGCUUUGUGAUGUGCUCUCAAAGAGUCGAGUUGUUUGGGAAUGCAGCUCAAAAUGGGUGGUAAAUUCCAUCUAAAGCUAAAUAUUGGCGAGAGACCGAUAGCGAACAAGUACCGUGAGGGAAAGAUGAAAAGAACUUUGGAAAGAGAGUUAAACAGUACGUGAAAUUGCUGAAAGGGAAACGCUUGAAGUCAGUCGCGUUGGCCGGGGAUCAACCUUGCUUUUGCUUGGUGUACUUUCUGGUUGACGGGUCAGCAUCAAUUUUGAUCGUUGGAUAAAGUCCAGAGGAAUGUGGCAUCUUCGGGUGUGUUAUAGCCUUUGGUCGCAUACAACGGUUGGGAUUGAGGAACUCAGCACGCCGAAAGGCCGGGGAUAUACCCACGUUCGUGCUUAGGAUGCUGGCAUAAUGGCUUUAAUCGACCCGUCUUGAAACACGGACCAAGGAGUCUAACAUGCCUGCGAGUGUUUGGGUGGAAAACCCGAGCGCGUAAUGAAAGUGAAAGUUGAGAUCCCUGUCGUGGGGAGCAUCGACGCCCGGACCAGACCUUUUGUGACGGAUCCGCGGUAGAGCAUGUAUGUUGGGACCCGAAAGAUGGUGAACUAUGCCUGAAUAGGGUGAAGCCAGAGGAAACUCUGGUGGAGGCUCGUAGCGAUUCUGACGUGCAAAUCGAUCGUCAAAUUUGGGUAUAGGG
rnacentral:rRNA from 1 species